CUUGAAAAUUUGAUGUCUCCGUCUAACCCAAAGAGUCACUCAAUCCACUGCCCGAUUCAUGUUAGAGGCCUUUCCCAUUAUAUAUACAAGUUGAUAGAUAAACCCCUGAGUGGACCAGCUAAAAUGUCGUAGAAUUGUAUACCAGUAUACAUAGAUUAUACACGAUAUACAUAAUAUCCAUGAAUUAUACAUAUAUUAUAUAUCCAUCUGGUUAUUUUUAAUUUAAGCAGUUGGGUGAGCAGUAUCUAUUUCUUUGUCUUUUUGUAGAUAAAUUUAGCGCACAGGGCUAACAGGGACAUAAUUUAAAUAGUAACUUGGAGAAAUGCCAUUUUUGCAGAUGAACCCCUUAUUGGUGCAGUCCAUGUUAAAGUACAAUGAACCUUUACAACUUUUUAGAAUAGAAUCGUUGGAAGAAUAAAAAUCGAAGCAAAUUAGAUACAAGACACUAUGACAAUGGUAUGGAAUUAAAAAAUUCUCACUGAUAAUAGGCAGCAUGUAUAUGUAGCUACUAACGGUAUAGGUAAUAUUGUUAUAGAUAUAUAAUGUUAAAGCUGCAUUUACAACGAUUGAAAAUGUACAUGAUGCUUACUACAGAUAACAUAAAGCACAGAUACAUGCUACAAGGAUCAGCGAUAAACUAGCUGAUAUGAUCCCAGUAGAGCAGUAAAAAGUACUCCUUAUAUGAGCUAUCAGAUGCUUACUGGCAUUGGCGGAGCCAGAAUUUUCAGUAAGAGAAUUCAAAAUA